rnacentral:sRNA from 1 species
AUGAAUGUGAGAUUUGACCCAAGCCAGACGUAGUAUGAAGCUAAAGCCAAAUCACAUCUUGUGCUACAAUUGGAUUCAACUAUGUAACAACAAACUGAGACCAAAACCAACACCAACACAGAAAGCCACAACUUGGGUUUCAUCGGAUUUGGCGACUCUUCUACCUCUUUCCCCCUCUUUCUCAUUAUCUAAUCGGGUUUCUCAAUUUUUUUUAUUAACAUUUUUUUCUAAAAUUAAGAAAUAAAUAAAUAAAUUAAAUUAAAUAUAUUUAAAAAAAAAAAGUUAACUGCAUAAACUAACAGAACAUUAACGGAUGACUUAAUUGAUAAUGAAUAAAACUUAGAGGACUGAAAUAACAAAACUAAAACUUAUAGUUAAGUUUUAGCCUAAAGUCUUAUCCUUUAUUCCUUUGGUUUUAUUUUAAUUUUGGUUAAGAUAACAUUGUAAUUUUGUAAUAAGUUUUAAUUAUUAUGAUAAUCACAUUAUUCCUUAAAAGAUGAGAAAUUUGAAACUUAUAAAGUUUAGUUGUAUGUUAGGCAAAUAUAACAUAGUACAACAAAAGUUAGAAGGAUAUGAUUCACCUUAAAAAAAUAUUAAUUAAACACACAAAAAAUAAUAGAAUGAUAUAUUUGUAGAGAUAAAAAGAUAAAAAUACUUGUAUAAAUCUCUUUUUCUAAAUUGACAAUACUUGAAGUGUUAUUUUUUAUAUAUUACACCCCAUUACAUUAUAUUUAUAUAUAUUUUCACACAUCACGUUGGUCUACAACUAGUCUAAUACUAUAUAUAAUAGCAGAAGCUUUUACCAAGUGCUGACACGUAAGUCAAAAUGACCCCCUUAAAAUGUUGACAUGUAUACAACUUAGGGGGUGUUUGGUAGAGUAGUUUGAAAAUUGUUGUUUAUUAUUUUUUGAAAUACGUGUGGGUGAAAAAGUGUGUUGAAAUGCGUGAAAUGCUGUUUAAAAACUAAAAAAAUGUUGUUUGAAAUGGCGUACCAAACGGGGCCUUAACCUUUAAAAAAAUCGCACGGUGCGUUGGAGAGGCUCAGUUUCAGACACAAAUGUAAACCUUUACAAAAAACAACAACCGCUUAUCAAAAAAAAAAAAAAAAAAACGCAAGCCCUAAAACCCAAACCAAAUUUCCUGAUCAAAAUUCGGACUCCCUCAAACUUUCGUUUCUUCGCUGCUCCUUCAUAUACACACAGAUCGGAUUCGGUGAAACUCAAUUUUAACCAUUUCAUUCUUACUUAUCAAAGCAUACACACAGAUCGUGCUCUGCAACCCCGUCUCUGCUUUUCAACAAUUGACAAAUCAGAAGGUAGGCAUUUUCCUCCCUUUAUCUGUUUUCCAUUCAGUUUUCGUUUCCAGGGUUUUCAAAGAUAUAUGGGUUUCGGACUCACUUAAACUUUUGAUUCUUUGUUACUUAAUAUGGUUGUGUGAUUAUUUACUUAUUGAUAGUUUGUUUGGUAUGUGUCUAUUUUUCAUCUUUCUCUUCUGUCAUUUUAAAAAACCUUCUUACCCUUUCAUUUUUUGUUGAAAUUUAGAUUUGCUGAGUUUUUCCUGUCAAGUACUAAUAAUUCAUUAAUAUGCCAAAUUUUCGAGGGCCUCAUUUACAUUGUCACUUAUCAGUAAUUUUGUAUAUUCAAUGAUAUUUUUUCCCUCACGUGCCAAUGUAGAUCUAUCAUCUCUGCUCUGGCUUAUAGGACAGUUGGUAGAUAUUCAAGAAGAACUACUUGAUUAA